AGUAGGACGAAACCCCACCUCAGAAAUAUCACAGCAAAAUCGCUCAGUCCCUUGUUUUCAUAUCAAGACAUACAACCUUCUUUCACACUCACACUUGGACUAAUGAAUAAUGGCAAUGAUUUCUCCCAACGAGACAACAUCUGAAGACUAUUCUGAUUACGACAACUUAACUGAGGAUGACUUCUCACCCCACAACACCAACCACAUGAAGGCCUUCAGCAGAGUCUUCCUCCCUACAAUCUACAGCAUCGUUUUCAUCAUGGGGUUAAUUGGCAACGGUCUGGUGUUGUGUGUCCUGGUCAAGUACCAUAAAAGGUCCAACAUAUCAGAUGUGUGCCUCUUCAACCUGGCCCUUUCAGACCUCCUUUUCCUUCUCUCAUUGCCUUUCUGGGCUCAUUACGCCGCCAUCACUCAGUGGGUCUUUGGGAACUUCAUGUGCCAUGCAGUGACAGCACUGUACAUGCUGGGAUACUAUGGAAGUAUCUUCUUCAUGAUGCUCAUGACCAUAGACCGCUAUGCUGUCAUUGUCCACACCUAUACCUCCCUCUUUUCCAAGUACCGGUCUGUCAGAGCUAUCAUAGCCCUGAUUUUGUUUACGUGGACACUUAGCCUGGUAGCUUCUCUGCCAAAUAUAAUUUUCUCACAAAUAUGCAUGUCAAAUAAACCAAAUGAAUCCACAUGUAGUUUUGAACAUCCAAACCUGAAAUGGAGGCUGUUCUCUUACAUCGAGCUGAACAUCCUCGGCUUAAUCAUUCCUCUCUCAGUGAUGGUGUUCUGCUACUCGCGCAUCAUCCCCAUCUUAAUGUCCAUGAAGUCUCAGAAGAAACACAAAGCUGUCAGACUCAUACUGGUCUUGGUCAGUGUUUUCUUCAUUUUCUGGACGCCUUACAACAUCGUCAUCUUCCUGAAGUUCCUGCAUCAACUGGGUUAUAUAAACACCAGUCAGUGGAAUCAGGACCUGAACAUGGCUAUACAGUGGGUGGAAAGCAUAGCAUUCAGUCACUGCUGCCUCAACCCCAUCAUCUAUGCCUUUGUGGGGCAGAGAUUCAGGAAUUUAUUUCUAAAGAUCCUGAAAGAGUGGUUUCCACUCUGCUUUGGUCAGUGCCCAAUAAUUGAAAGUGAGAGCUCACAGAGGAUGACCACUAUGUACUCAUGCUCCUCAGUGACAGAUCAAAGUCAAAACAUCUAAACUAUGCUUAAUAAUUUUGACCAGGCCGUGUUUAACAACUUGCUACCAUCAUAAAGUUUUUAGAAAAUAACAUUUAAAAUAUAUGGUUUAAUACCUUGCAGUGAUUUUGUUCAUUCUUCCCCAAACACAUACACAUACUGAGACCAGCUGGUCUACACAGGAGACUUUUGCUCAGUCCCAGGAACAGAAUUAACAUACAUUACACAACAUACAUUCUCCAGAGGGAUAAAAAGUUCUACAUUAUACAAUAUAAGAGCUGCAUUUACCAUCAAGCAUCGAAUGUCUGUGACUCUGUAAAUUCUCUUAUUUUACCUUCUCUAUAUUGUGUAUUCAUGUUUUGUACAAAAAACCCAUUUAUUACUUUUAUUAACAAAAUAUUAUUCUUUGGUGUCAGUUACAUUAAGUUGCACAGUAACCUCAUAAAUUAGAGUCAGGUCAAUAAUUAAAUAAAGUGCUAUUAUGUCAGUAAUAGCAGUUUCAGGGCAAAAAAAAUAUCCCAGUCAAUAGUCAUGUUUUCCAGUUGUUGAUGUAAACUUGGCUACUGAUAGUGUUAUUUCUAUUAAUGAAAACCUUUCACACUUGAAAUUUAGAAGCUGCUCUGAAGCUUUUUGCAGUGUUUACCUCAUAUUGUGGUGCCAGUGUGAAAGAAAAUUAAAUAUGUUUCUGAUAUCACUUGAAAACCUGAACAUAGCAACAAUUAACAAAAAAUGGCUCAGAAGUCAAGGAUCAGUUGGGAAAACAGUGAACAUCCCAAAGUGCAUUCUGUAGCAAGAAAAAAAUAGUUCCUGUUGAAAGGUGACAUAGAGACAGGUGACUGUGUUUAAGAAAGAUUUUUGUCAUUUAGACUGUACAUGUAAAGAAGAGACAGAACUGACUGCAUUUCUAAAAAAUGGCUCUUAACAUCACUUCUAAAUACUUACUCUGUGCCUAGUGGAAACACAACAAACACCAUAAUCCUAGCUGGGGGAGUGGGGGAGUGGUUGAAAGAGAUAGAAAUGAGAGAGAGAGAGAAAGAGAGAGAGAGAGAGAGAGAGAAAGAGAAAGAGAAACAGAAGUGUUACAUCAGUUAUAUUAGUUUCAGGGUUUCAGAGACCAUGUUUUCCAGGUGUUAUUUAUAUUAAUGAAAAGCAUAUCAUGUGAAAAUCUUACACCUGACAGUAUCAGUCAAUCUACAAAGAUGAGUUUAUAAAACAUAAUUGCAUAAUUUCUCCAAGAAAUAAAACACAGCUGUAAACAUUAGGGACACAUUGUUUAGAGAAAUGAAUGCCAUCUAUAUUACGUUGCAGUGUUUUAAUAUUUGGGAUGCAUUCAAGAAGAUCUCUCGCUCCUUUAUUGUUGUGUGUGGGUCACCUGCUCAUGUUAUUAUCAGUUAGGUGGAAAUGACUAAUCUGAAUUAACAUCAGCAUUUUCAAGGAUGGCAAGAAACCUGCACUCCAGAAAGUGACUAAGCCCUUACUUGGACUGGGAUGCUCACCACUCAAUGUGAUUGAUGUUUCGAACAUGCUACUUCAGAAAGGCAACAAGCAUACAUUGGAGGAAGUGUUGUUAAAAGUCUGCAUUCGACACUGCUAGGCAGACCUGCCAUUACCGAACUUGGUCUUGUCACACGUGUAGAUGACAUAAGCAUAUACACUUUGCAGGAACGCUAUCCUAAGUUGUGCAGUGGGCUGUGACUGAUACAGAGACCAUAGAUUCAAAACUCCAACGGCGCAUCCCUCCUCCACUCAUGCCUAAAGUAAAAAAGGAACUGCAACGCAUGAAGCAUUUGAGGGUCAUAAGCAGGGUAGAGGAGCCCAUGGAGUGGUGUGCAGGCAUUGUUGUGGUACCUAGAAAGUCUGGGGACCCACAGUUCAAUGAAUCAGUGUGAAGGGAGAAAUACAUUCUUCCCUCUGUUGAACAGACCCUUGGACUGUUAGCGGGAGCUUGUGUUUUUAGUAAGCUCGAUGUGAACAUGGGCUCGAACAUGAGAUCCCUCGAGCUGAGCAGUCCGCCAAGCUGACAACUUUUAUCACACCGUUUGGAUGGUACUACUUCAAUCAUCUGCCCUUCGGUAUCGCAUCGGCACCUGAACACUUUCACAACCGCAUGGUAACGGAAGUCACUGAUGGCCUGGAUGGAGUGGUCUGUCACAUGGAUGAUGUACUUGUGUCGGGGUGUUCUCAAGUGAAGCAUAAUGCAUGCCUCCACGCUGUGCUCCAAAAGAUGGAAAAUUCUGGCAUUACCCUCAACUUACACAAAUGUGCCUUGUAAAUGAUUAAUAAAGUAUGUACUCAUGCUUAACUAAUACUUAAAAGUGUGCAGUUAUUAUAAAGCGUUACCGUUUUUCUUUAGAUCCUGCACAAGUUUUUGUUUAAAAGAAAGCAGUAGAGAUGAGGACACUGAUGUGACUGAUGAGUUCAUGACUUGGUAUGUCUUGUUUGUCGAUUAUUUUAAAAGGUUCUUGGAAUUGCAGUGUUCUUGUUUUUCUGCUAAAAUUAGCACAAUUCAUCCAUAAAAGGACAAAAAGUUUGAGACUUGGCUGUUCUGUGAGUAGGACGAAACCCCACCUCAGAAAUAUCACAGCAAAAUCUCUCAGUCCCUUGUUUUUAUAUCAAAAUAUACAACUUUCUUUCACACUCACACUUGGACUAAUGAAUAAUGGCAAUGAUUUCUCCCAACAAGACAACAUCUAUGGAAAAGAAGUGGGAGGAAGUGUACAAUUAUCUUUCUUCACAGUCAUACCCAGAAGGAUAUGACAAGUCACAGAGACAAAACCUGAGGAGAUUUGUCUCCAAAUUCAAAAUGAUGGUGGUGUAGAGAUGAUAUAAACUUUGCAUACCUUCCAGAUCUUACAAUGUGACAAGUGUCAAAAAGUUGGGAAACCUCUGGCUGUCGAUCAGAAACUGGAAUGUAUUCAGGUGUCUGAUGUCUGGGAACUUGUGGGCAUUGAUUUAUUUGGACCCUUGCCAAAAACUGCUGAUGGCUUUCGGUAUGUACAGAAUACUGUCAGAUCAAGGGAGAGAAUUUGUUAAUGAAGUAAGUGCUUUCUAAAAGUACAAAAAUGAGGUAAGGGAAUUUUUGCAGUUGUUUUGCAGUCUCAAAAUCACUUAAUUUUUUUUUUAAGAUCAACCAUGCACUUUGUGAACUGUUUCGCGUUAAUAUGAGUGUAACAGCAGCCUAUCACCCCCAAACUAACGGCCUCAAUGAAAAGACCAGCGAUAACAUUAAACGGUAAACUUUACGAAUAAUAACGUUACCUGGCACAUUUUAAAAAUUUUCAUUUCAUGUAAAGAUAGUAUGGAAUUAUUUAUAUUUCAGCCCUCAAGAAACUAGUAAAUGAUCAGCAGAAUGAUUGGGAUACCUAUCUGGAUGCAACACUUUUUUCUCUCAGAUCGAAGGUGCACACAACCACAAAACUCUCCGUUUCUUUUAAUGUAUGGUAGAGAAGCAAUGUUUCCUUCAGAGGUUCCAGUCCUUCCAGAAUUUAUACUUGCUUUGUCAGAAUACUCUUAAUUAUGUCUUUCACAUUUAACUUGAAUAUGAAAAAAUAUUUCACCUCAUUUACACAGUUAUUCUAUCCCUAAUUGUUUGGAACUAUAGAUUUCCAACAUAAUUCUUCCUCAAGAGUCUGCAUACUCAGACUUUGUUCAGUCUAAAAACAAGAAAGUGGAGGCUCGUAAACAAACAGCUGAAGAAAAUGUUAAAAAAUCACAGGAAAAACAGAAGCAAGCAUAUGCCAAAAAGGUUCAGAAAAAGUACCGACAUGUGACAUAUGGUGUUGGUGAUGAGGUUCUGCUGCUGAAUAUGUGAAAGCGUGGAAGAAGAGGAGGGAGAAUUGAACCAGAUUUCUCUGGUCCAUAUACACUUGAAUCCGUGUGUGGCAAGUUGGUUACACUGCAAAACAAGGAAGUACAAUAAAUAAAUUGUAAUACAACUAAAUACAACAUAAAUCAUUUAAAACCGUACAAAAGAAGCAUGGACAAUGAAACAUCUGCACCACGUUCUGCACCAUGUCAAGCCGAAAGUUCUGCACCACGUCAAGCAUCCACUACAAGCCCUCAGCAGACUUUAAACGAUCCUAAACAGCAUGAUGACAGUGCAACAGCAAAAAGUCCAUCUGUUAUUGUGUUUGCCACAAAAAAUACUCCACAGAGUACUGAAGACUCCAACGAGGAAAAGCAGUGACAGAAGCCAUUAAGCCUGUAUGUGCACAGCCAGAAAAUUUAAAGAAAAGCUGUGAAGAAGAAGGUGUCGUAUUUAGAGUUGUACUUCUGACCUGUUGGUCAUUUUUUACCAAUUUGCCUUGUCUACCAGUUCGUCAUUUGAAUAAGGUGGUUUGGCAAGUUUGUUUUUCCCUCCUGUUGGUCACAAGUUAGAAACAUGGAGUUGAACAAUUAGAAUAAAUAGUCUUAUUCUUGGAUAGAACCAAAGGGUGCAUUUAACUCAGUGUAUAUUGUUAACUGUAUUAUAUGGUUUUCAUGCACUGGGUAAUAUUUUGAAAUGUUUUAAAUGUUAAUAUUUUCCUUAAUAAUACCUGGGUCAUCCUAUGAUUUAAACAUGAACUAUCUCACAAAGUUGGCCCGUUGAAGUUUUUCGUUGGCCCGUUGGCCCUGUUGAAGUUUUAUGUUGGCCCGUUGGUGUUGUUGAAGUUUUAUGUUGGCCUGUUGGCCCUUUGAAGUUUUUCGUUGGCCUGUUGGCCCUGUUGAAGUUUUAUGUUGGCCCGUUGGCCCUUUUGAGUUAACUAUACUUAAUUUUGGAAAAUACUAACUUUUCUAAAUGAUCCUUUAGUCCUUUAAAGCUGUGGGCUUCAAAGGACCAUGGGUAGGUUGAAGCAGUUGUGGGACCAUAUAAACUGUUUGACAGUCCUUUUCGCAUGCUGCAAGGGACAGAGUGGCUGUCAGAUGAAGUAAGUGAGCCUAAAAUUAGCCUACCUGUUGUUUAACAUUUUCUGUUCACAGGUUUUUAUUGAUGCAUACCUACACCAUCUUGUUGAAAAGCAUAAGGCAAGUUCAAAUUGUCAAUGUACUUUUAAAAGGAUCCUGUAAUUUUUCAGAAUUCUUACUGCUGUGUUUAUUUUUAACAGAAACUGGUACAUCUCCUUUGUGUAGCUGUGUGAAACUCACUAUUUUCUGGCCUUUUUGGAUGUCUCUUUAAGAUCCAUUGGGAAAGGAAACGUUGUAUGAACAUAAAGUUCUGUGAAACUGGAGAAACUUUCUGAAGCUUCGAGGUCGUGAUGAGCACAGUGCAGCAUGACAAGUGCAAACCCUCCCACACGAAGAACAACAAGACUCAAGCAACUGCAGAGUGCUAAUUUUGAAGUUUGCAGAACUGUAUCUUUUAGAGGGCAGUGUUCAGGAUGUGAAGACAAGCAAAAGUGCUAUAUCCUUGGAUAGAAUAGAGAUUGCAUGUGCACUGCUGACAUAUCGAGAGCCAAUUUCAAUCAUUGUGUUAUAAGGAAUGCAGAGGACUACUGUGUGGUGUGCUCCAUGUAGGAAGGUAAUGCUGAAAAAAGCAUGAUUGAAAUGGUGCAGUGUGACCUCUGUGGAAGGUGGGCACAUUUUGAAUGUGCCAAAUACAGAAGAACUCCCAACUUAUGUGUGUGGAAAAUGUGUGGAAAAAUAAUAAUAAUAAUGGAAAAUUGUGUGUGUGUGUGUGUGUAAAUACAUUUAUCUGUUUUGUGUAUAAACCUUAUAAAUUAAAUUUUCUACAGUUAAGUCAGUUUAGUCUCUGGAUUUAUUACUGUGCUUAAAAUUUUCUUUAAUAAUGACUAGUGAUUAUGCUGAAAAAGACAAUUUUAUUAAGUUGCCUAUAUACUCCGGUCUUAGAUUUUCUUAUCAGAAACUGCUGCCUGUGUUUAAACUAUAGGAAAUACAUUCUGAUAAGGUAAUAUUAGGUGUCAGAAACUGCUGCCUGUGUUUAAACUGUGCAUUGCAAUUUGUUUGCAGUGUUAUGUCCAUUUGAAAGCACAGGUAGGAACUUUUGAUAAAGUAGGACAGAUCAAUAGGUAUAACUAUACGCUUUUGUCAGGAAAUUCUGACAAGUAGGAAAAAAUGAUAGCACACCUGUCUUUCGGUUCUUCAGUCCGACUGAAGAAACCACGGCGUCACAGAGCUAGGAUCAGAGGACAAGUGUGUGUGUGUGUGUGUGUGUGUGUGUGUGUGUGUGUGUGUGUGUGUGUGUGUGUGUGUGUGUGUGUGUGAGAUCAGGAAGACUCGUAUUUGGCUUGUUCAGUACUCAAAUGUUAUACACAUCUAUGCAAUACAGUGGAAUGCUGCAAUAAGUUUACCAUCCUACCCUGUUAGUCAAACCUUUCUUUAUUUAUUUAUUUAUUUAUUUAUUUAUUUGUUAGUUACUAUUAUACCCUCAUUGGGAGCUGAGUCCCCCUUAAAUGAAAAUCCUACACUCGCCCCUGAUUGUGCACAUGUACACAGUUGUAAAAUGCUGUCUGGCUCCUGUUUGAUUUUAUUUAGCGUGUAACUGCUUUACAAAAUUGUUUUUCUUCAGGGAUUUUUUUUCCAGGUGACAAUUAUUUAUUUUAUAAAAAGUGAUUUAAGUCUGCAGUUUGCACUUUACAAAUCCCUCAUAUUUUGUUAUAUUACUUUAUUUUACUAGAAUAAUUACUUGAACUUGUAGAAGACUGGUGAAAGUUUGCAUUUUAUAAAUCCCCCAAAAAGGUUUUUAUGAUGUUGUAUUGAUUGUUGUUUUUCUAAAAUAACAACAAAAAAAAAAAAACUUGUUAGCGAAAGUAAGUUUGCACUUUUAGUCCAAAUAAG